UACGAAGGGGGCUAGCGUUGUUCGGAUUUACUGGGCGUAAAGCGCGUGUAGGCGGGUCGUUAAGUUGGGGGUGAAAUCCUGGAGCUCAACUCCAGAACUGCCUUUGAUACUGAGGAUCUUGAGUUCGGGAGAGGUGAGUGGAACUGCGAGUGUAGAGGUGAAAUUCGUAGAUAUUCGCAGGAACACCAGUGGCGAAGGCGGCUCACUGGCCCGAUACUGACGCUGAGGCACGAAAGCGUGGGGAGCAAACAGG
rnacentral:rRNA from 1 species